rnacentral:rRNA from 1 species
GACGAACGCUGGCGGCGUGCUUAACACAUGCAAGUCGAACGGAAAGGCCCUGCUUUUGUGGGGUGCUCGAGUGGCGAACGGGUGAGUAACACGUGAGUAACCUGCCCUUGACUUUGGGAUAACUUCAGGAAACUGGGGCUAAUACCGGAUAGGAGCUCCUGCUGCAUGGUGGGGGUUGGAAAGUUUCGGCGGUUGGGGAUGGACUCGCGGCUUAUCAGCUUGUUGGUGGGGUAGUGGCUUACCAAGGCUUUGACGGGUAGCCGGCCUGAGAGGGUGACCGGCCACAUUGGGACUGAGAUACGGCCCAGACUCCUACGGGAGGCAGCAGUGGGGAAUAUUGCACAAUGGGCGGAAGCCUGAUGCAGCAACUCCGCGUGCGGGAUGACGGCCUUCGGGUUGUAAACCGCUUUCGCCUGUGACGAAGCGUGAGUGACGGUAAUGGGUAAAGAAGCACCGGCUAACUACGUG